rnacentral:rRNA from 1 species
ACCAGACAACCUUGGCUGAUCUUGAAAAGCUAAGCAAGGUCAGAUCUGGUUAGAAUUUGGAUGAGAAUCCCCGGAAAUCCCAGGAUCACCCAGGUC